rnacentral:rRNA from 1 species
AGCUCCAAUAGCGUAUAUUAAAGUUGUUGCAGUUAAAAAGCUCGUAGUUGGAUUUGGGACUGGAGUCGUUCGGUCGGCCGCAAGGUCUGUUACUGAACGGCUCUGUCAUCACAUUCCCAGAGACCUGCCGUGUACUUAACUGUGCGCGGUACGGGAUUUGGGACGUUUACUUUGAAAAAAUUAGAGUGUUCAAAGCAGGCGCAGGCUCAUGAAUAUAUUAGCAUGGAAUAAUGAGAUAGGACUUUGGUACUAUUUUGUUGGUUUGCGCACCAAAGUAAUGGUUAACAGGGACAGUUGGGGGUAUUCGUAUUCCAUUGUCAGAGGUGAAAUUCUUGGAUUUUUGGAAGACGGACGACUGCGAAAGCAUUUACCAAGGAUGUUUUCAUUAAUCAAGAACGAA